UACAGAGGGUGCGAGCGUUGUCCGGAAUCACUGGGCGUAAAGGGCGCGUAGGCGGCUUUGCAAGUGACGGGUGAAAGCCCUCGGCUUAACCGAGGAACUGCCUGUCAGACUGUGAGGCUUGAGACCGGGAGAGGUGAGUGGAAUUCCCAGUGUAGAGGUGAAAUUCGUAGAUAUUGGGAAGAACACCGGUGGCGAAGGCGGCCAUCUGGACCGCAACUGACGCUGAGGCGCGAAAGCGUGGGGAGCAAACAGG
rnacentral:rRNA from 1 species